AGCAGUACUUUCAUAGCACUUAGAUCAGCAGUACUUUCAUAGCACUUAGAUUAGCUGUACUUUCAUAGCACUUAGAUCAGUUGUACUUUCAUAGUACUUAGAUCAGUUGUACAUUCAUAGCACUUAGAUCAGCAGUACUUUCAUAGCACUUAGAUCAGUAGUACUUUCAUAGCACCUAGAUCAGUAGUACUUUCAUAGCACUUAGAUCAGUUGUACUUUCAUAGCACUUAGAUCAGUUGUACAUUCAUAGCACUUAGAUCAGUUGUACUUUCAUAGAACUUAGAUCAGUUGUACUUUCAUAGCACUUAGAUCAGUUGUACUUUCAUAGCACUUAGAAAAUAUCUUAUCUUCAACUGACUUCCACUAAUAUUCUUUCAUAACUUUUAUUUCCAGAUACCACGAUCUCCGAGUGUGUCGCUGCGAUCGUAUCACAGUUUUAAAAUUAUUUUUAAAUAAAAAUAUAUGCAUUACGUUUGAUUGUAUUUCCGGUAACGAACUGAAAUAAUCAAAUAAUAAAGAUAUCAGAUCUUCGACUCCUUGUCUAUUUCUAGCUUGUUGAACUAAAGAAAAAUCCGAGUAUUGGAGUGAGGCGCGUGAGAGCCACAUUGAAGCCCGUCAAGAAGUCCAGAAGAGAUUCGGAAGAGUUUGAACUACACAGUCAAAUUCGACGUCUCCAAGACGACAAUUACAGAUACAGGCAAAAGCUAGAAGAGAUAAAUAUUGAACUGCAAGCUUUGAUGGCAAACUUGAAAGAUAUGGAUGAGCCAGUGAUCAUAAUCAGCCACGGAGUGACGUCACCAAUCCCAGAAGCCUCUUCUGAUGGUAACUGUGAAGACAUCCAAGUCAUUGUCCCCAAUAUUCGCCAAGAUAGAGAAAUCACAGUUAUUUCCAGCUCUUCAUCCCCAGAAGAAGAAGAACUGGAAGAAGACGUCGAGGAGAAACAUCCUUUCAG